UGUCUUUGUUUUAAUUCGUGUGUUUUGGCUAUUCAAUGUCUAAAACCCUAAAAGUACAAGUAAUUAAUGAUAUACUGGUACUCAUCUGCCAGGGGAUGUCGGAACCCCUGCUUUGACUUGGGUUACAACUUUAGAUUUUGGAUUCUCUAUAAAUCCCACCUACUCUUUCAUCUUUACUUCCUCUCCUCCUUUGCUUGUUGAACAUUCAAGACAAAAAGAAAAACCUAGCUAAUUACAAUUCUCAGAAGAAAGAUUACCAUACACUGUAUUAAUGAAUGCCUUUUCAAGCCUUCUGCUUUGCCUUCUUUUCACUACGCUUUCCUUAGGGAACUCUACUGCAGGUGAAUAUAUGAAACAAGAUGAAAAGAUGAUGGCAGCAACUGCAAAUGGAUUCGAUAUUGUGCAGUCCAAGGGAUGAAAGAUUAAUCAGGUCUUUUCCAUCUUCACAUACAUUUUAUGACACUUUUUGUCAAAUAUAUAUAUGUAAACGCAUGCAUGGUUUGUUAAACAUAUAAGAAGAGAGAGAUAUUAGCCCAGGUUAGUCUCUCAUUCUGUUGUCCAAUGAGGUAGUUACGUUUUUAAUCAUGUUGUUUUUUUCUUUUAAUUAAUCGUCACAACUUGUUCUUGGGGUUCUAUCUAUAAAUCGAUGAGGUUUGUUCUAUUUUCUA